rnacentral:lncRNA from 1 species
AAUGGAGUAAUGACAGAGAGAGAGGGGGGGGAAGGGGUUCACAAAGAGAGAGUGUGAGUGAUCUGUGAGAGAGAGAGAGUAGGGGAGGAGGGAUUCACAGAGAGAGAGGGGGUUUAUGUGAGGCAGGGGGGUUUGGGGGGUUAUGGUGCAGAGAGAGAGUGAGAGAGGAAGAGAGAGAGGUGACAGUUGCUGUGACAAGUUUGGAGGGGAGGACGGUGAGAGAGUGAGAGGAAGAGAGAGAGGUGAGGGUGGGCCAAAGAGAGAGAGAGAGAGCAAGAUCGAGCGAGAGAAGGUGUGGGGAAGUCAACUCGGGCGAGAAUAAUACGAAGAGAAUAUAGUGAAUAGUUCACCGCAUAUGGACACGGUGAACUAUUCACCAUAUCUAAAUACGGUGAACUAUUCAUCGUGUCUGGACACGAUGAACCAUUCGUCGUGUCUACACGGUGAAUGAAUUACCGUGUUCAACUUAUUCAAGCUCCUCCCACCCUGCUCGCAUGGCGCUUACAUGGCGCCUACGUGAUAAGGACAUGGCCAGAAUUGCAAUUAUAAAUUUGGUAGGGCUAUUUUUAAAAUAAAUUUU